rnacentral:lncRNA from 1 species
CAUACAACAUCAAUGUCAUAUUCAACGAUAUAUGAUCUGUAUUUCAGUCUCAGCUUGUUGAUUGCUUUGUCAAGAUCGGAAAGAGGAUUUUUCACCAACGGACCUACAAAAGAUUGAAAGGUAUGGAAGCCAUGUUGAUUAAGAAAUUUCGGUUUAAGAGAAAGGUAUGGUUUUAAAAAGAGAUUUCGGUUUAGGAGAAAGGAUUAAAAUAUAUUGGUGAGGGUUUGGAGGAGGGGAGUUAGGAAAUAUGGUUUAUGGAAAUCAAUUAGAUAGGUAGAAAUUUCGGUUUAAGAGAAAAGUAUGGUUUUAAAAAGAGAUUUCGGUUUAGGAGAAAGAAUUAAAAUAUAUUGG